rnacentral:rRNA from 1 species
GACGUAGGGGGCAAGCGUUGUCCGGAAUCAUUGGGCGUAAAGGGUGCGUAGGCGGGUCUUUAAGUCAGGGGUGAAAUCCUGGAGCUCAACUCCAGAACUGCCUUUGAUACUGAAGAUCUUGAGUUCGGGAGAGGUGAGUGGAACUGCGAGUGUAGAGGUGAAAUUCGUAGAUAUUCGCAAGAACACCAGUGGCGAAGGCGGCUCACUGGCCCGAUACUGACGCUGAGGCACGAAAGCGUGGGGAGCAAACAGG